AUGGCGGUGAGAUGCUUCUGUUGCCUGAGGGGGGAAGAGACGAGGAGCCCACCACCGGCUUGCCACGAGCGAGCUAUUGGCCUGCUGUUGGAGCCUGAGAAGGGGAGGGUGCGGGGAGCACACCGCCAUCUUGCGGCCAGUGUGCUGCUGCUAGAGCCUGAGAGGGGGAGGAGGCAAGUAGCCCACUGCCGGCUUGUCGCCGGUUUGCCUGCUAGAUCUGGUGGCGCCGCCAAGAGUGGGUACAGCAGGGAGGAAGAGGAUCCGGAGUGGAGGCUGGACACAAGGGAUGGGGACAGGCUAUGGUUAGGAUAUGCCCCUUACUCAGUUUUUGCUGGGCCGGGCCAGGCCGUACAAGAAAGGAUCAGGGAAGCUUCUGAAAUGUAUCUAAAUUAA
rnacentral:rRNA from 1 species